rnacentral:sRNA from 2 species
ACUGCUGUCAAUCUAUCUAUCACUGCUAAUCUAUCACUGCUAAUCUAUCACUGCUAAUCUAUCACUGUCAAUCUAUCUACUGCUGUUAAUCUAUCUACUGCUGUCAAUCUAUCUACCACUGUCAAUCUAUCUAUUGCUGCUAAUCUAUCGCUGCUAAUCUAUCACUGCUAAUCUAUCACUGCUAAUCUAUUGCCGUCAAUCUAUCUACCACUGCCAAUCUAUCUACCACUGCCAAUCUAUCUAUUGCUGCCAAUCUAUAUAGAGUAAAUUAUGGUCUCAUUUGGUCUCAUUUUGUAAAAUGAAAUCAAAUGAAAUCAGAAUCAUUAAUUUAUUAGUAAAAUAUGAUUUGAGACUAGAUUUAUAAUAUAAACAGUGUAAAGUGACUAAUUUGCUAAACACUAUAUGAGAUCAGAACUAAGAUAUCUAAUAAUAAAACUG